rnacentral:rRNA from 1 species
CACGUAGGGCGCGAGCGUUGUCCGGAAUUAUUGGGCGUAAAGAGCUCGUAGGCGGCCUGUUGCGUCCGCUGUGAAAGCCCGGGGCUUAACCCCGGGUCGGCAGUGGAUACGGGCAGGCUAGAGGUAGGUAGGGGAGAAUGGAAUUCCCGGUGUAGCGGUGAAAUGCGUAGAGAUCGGGAGGAACACCAGUGGCGAAGGCGGCCGGCUGGGGGUGCCCUGACGCUGAUGCGCGAAAGCUAGGGGAGCAAACAGG